UGGGGAAUAUUGGACAAUGGGCGUAAGCCUGAUCCAGCCAUGCCGCGUGUGUGAAGAAGGCCCUCGGGUUGUAAAGCACUUUCAGCGAGGAAGAACGCCUAGGGGUUAAUACCCCCUAGGAAAGACAUCACUCGCAGAAGAAGCACCGGCUAACUCCGUGCCAGCAGCCGCGGUAAUACGGAGGGUGCAAGCGUUAAUCGGAAUUACUGGGCGUAAAGCGCGCGUAGGUGGCUUGAUAAGCCGGUUGUGAAAGCCCCGGGCUCAACCUGGGAACGGCAUCCGGAACUGUCAAGCUAGAGUGCAGGAGAGGAAGGUAGAAUUCCCGGUGUAGCGGUGAAAUGCGUAGAGAUCGGGAGGAAUACCAGUGGCGAAGGCGGCCUUCUGGACUGACACUGACACUGAGGUGCGAAAGCGUGGGUAGCAAACA
rnacentral:rRNA from 1 species